AGGGUAGCCCUCUUAUAGAAUUUUCUUCCCAGCAUGCCUUUCUAGCUCUUUAAAUCUGGCAAUACCAAGCAGCUCCAGCCCUAAAGUUGCCAUUUGUGAGUGUUUUAUCUCUCUUUUUACUGCUCUUGAGAAAACCUGGAUUAUCUUGACAGCUCCUGGUUGAACAUUCCUUGCCACAAUGGGCCAGACUGCCUGGUAGUGUAAAUCAGUGUAGCUCCACUGAUUUCAGUGUAGCUGUACUUACUUGGUGAAGUAGGAGAGGCGGCACCUCCUUCUGUCGAUGUGGUUGGAGGUUUUGUGUCUGGCACGGGCAGAGGCACAGGCCUAGCCAUUGGUGGCGGCGGCGGUGGUGGCAACAUUGGGGUAGGAAG